AAAUAGUAUAACUUUUCAAGCUCACAGGAUCAAUACAGAUGUUGGGCUUAAGACCGAAUGGCAAUCAUAGAAGAGCAACAUUUCUAUUAACGUAUUAAAUUGUGUUUUUGAAUGUCAAUUAACGUAUAUUAUUUAGCGAGAGAGCCCGGUAAGUGGGAUGAAUUUCUCUUGUGUUUAUCAGUGAGAAAAUGUUCUCCCGCUUGCUGGGACAAUGCUGUUGUUUUGAUAAUAGCUUGCGGGUGUAUCUUUGAACUUUCGUCCAAGCGACCGGGCUAGCCAGCUUGUAAGUGUUUAUAUAUAGUGGAGAAAUUUCCAUCGCGGUAAGCUAGAUCUGGCCUCUUCAAGCGAGAUCACGACAACCAGGCCAGCCUGCUGGUCCAUAUAAGCGCAUGAUAAUUUUUACUAUAAAAGUAAUUACACAUUGAGAUCCCACUUACCCAGCAUGGGCUCCACCUUUGAAUUUACUAUAUGAGUAAAUUGUUAAACAGGUCCGAAUUUAUCAAUAUGAUAAAUUCGCGACACAUGAUGGCUAACACUAUAAUCCUUACCGUAACCCCAACCCUAACCACUAACCCCUAACCCUAAUUAAUCUAACUUUUUUUAAACUUUUCUGAAAAUCUGACUUUUAAACUUUUUUUUAUUUUUUUUUGAAAAUUUUGAAAAUCUCUAGAAAUCUUUACCUGUGAUUCUUAAAAACAGUGCAUGUGAUGCAUUAAGCAUUCAGUGCAGUCGCCAAACUCAAAUCGUGCGUUCUGGCGCUACUUUAAAGGAUACGGGCAUUUGUUUCACAUCGAAUGCAAUCUGCGCCCGACAUAAACGUGUGAAGAUUUGUAAAAAGCACUUGACAUCCAAUCUUCACCAGGAAAGACAGCAAAAUCAGCAGUCCAUCAUUUUGACCCAUCGUAGGACGUUCAAGAGACUGAUGGCGAUGAAUGAGUCGAGCGACGAGGACAGAGAUAUUUAUCGCGACAGCGAGUUUGACCUAACCUGAGUAUCAGGCCCUCGGUAUUGAAAGAAGGCCUGACACAAUUCGCCUCUAAAGCCAUGUUCAAUAUCCAGAAUCUGGAUGUUAUGCUGAUUGGCUAAGAGACAAUAAAACGCAUCAUGUGAUUCAAACCGGAAAUAUAUGACCGGCGUAUGUAAACACCAAAAAUAGAAUUUGUAAUUUUGUCA